rnacentral:rRNA from 2 species
GAAUGCUGACAUAAGUAACGAUAAAGCGGGUGAAAAGCCCGCUCGCCGGAAGACCAAGGGUUCCUGUCCAACGUUAAUCGGGGCAGGGUGAGUCGACCCCUAAGGCGAGGCCGAAAGGCGUAGUCGAUGGGAAACGGGUUAAUAUUCCCGUACUUGGUGUUACUGCGAAGGGGGGACGGAGAAGGCUAUGUUGGCCGGGCGACGGUUGUCCCGGUUUAAGCGUGUAGGUGUGUGUUCCAGGUAAAUCCGGUUCACUUUAACACUGAGGCGUGAUGACGAGGCACUACGGUGCUGAAGCAACAAAUGCCCUGCUUCCAGGAAAAGCCUCUAAGCAUCAGGUAACAUCAAAUCGUACCCCAAACCGACACAGGUGGUCAGGUAGAGAAUACCAAGGCGCUUGAGAGAACUCGGGUGAAGGAACUAGGCAAAAUGGUGCCGUAACUUCGGGAGAAGGCACGCUGACACGUAGGUGAAGUGAUUUACUCAUGGAGCUGAAGUCAGUCGAAGAUACCAGCUGGCUGC